CAGAUAUAAAAAACCAACUCGUCAGUGUACAGAUCAUCUUUAUUAUAUACAUUAUGAAAUAUAUAUAACAAAUACAUUAUACAAAUACAUGUCAGCGUUAAGAUGUGCCCGACAAAUAAACAACUAGACAAUAACUGUAUAAAGAAGCAGACGACGAAGAGUGUUAGUAUUAACGACACACUGAUUUUACCUGCUUUUGAUCUAAAGGUAAACAAGCCUAUCACCUGUCAAUCUUCCCUUUGACCAACGACUCUAUUAAAGUUUAUAAGGAAAUGAACAACUGAUAGCAGUUAGGAAAUGUAGCACAUGUCAACAAAUUAGCAUAUUAAUGUCAUUUAUGUUUAUAACUGUUGACGUCUCUUUAUAGUUUAUUGUUGUGGUUAUGUUUCUCUGUCGCUUUUUAUCCUACUUCCAUAUGCCUCACUUAACCGCAAAUGUGAAGCGUCAACAGCGGUAGUUGUCAGGUUAAAAGCCAUGACAGUGUACUGUAACCAUAGUGAUACAGCUCAUGUCUCUAUUAUGUUACUAUAGCGAUACAGGUCAUAUAUGUGUUAUGUUACUAUAGUGAUACAGGUCAUGUCUGUGUAAAGUAACUAUAGUGAUACAGGUCAUGUCUGUGUAAAGUAACUAUAGUUAUACAGGUCAUGUCUGUGUAAAGUAACUAUAGUGAUACAGGUCAUGUCUGUGUAAAGUAACUAUAGUGAUACAGGUCAUGUCUGUGUAAAGUAACUAUAGUGAUACAGGUCAUG